UCAACCUAAUUGGAUUCAAAAAAUAAAUGAUAUACACGUGGCCAUAGAAGAAAAUGUCUUUUGGGAAUGUAAAGCAAAUGGAAGGCCCAAACCUACAUACAGGUGGCUAAAAAAUGGUGAACCUCUAUUAACUCGGGAUAGAAUUCAAAUUGAGCAAGGAACUCUCAACAUAACAAUAGUGAACCUCUCAGAUGCUGGCAUGUAUCAGUGUGUGGCAGAGAAUAAACACGGAGUUAUCUUUUCCAGCGCAGAGCUUAGUGUUAUAGCUGUGGGUCCGGAUUUUUCAAGAACCCUCUUAAAAAGAGUAACUCUUGUCAAAGUGGGAGGUGAAGUUGUCAUUGAGUGUAAGCCAAAAGCUUCUCCUAAACCUGUCUACAUCUGGAAGAAAGGAAGGGACAUAUUAAGAGAAAA